rnacentral:misc_RNA from 1 species
CAAUAAGUGUUCAAUGGCACUUUAAAAUCCAUUACCCACCUUGUGUGCAAUGUAAGGAGGAGGGGUGUCAGACUUUUCGUCUGUCCCCCUCUUUCAUUAUACAUACCAAUCUUCUCUUGUUGUCUACUUUUUGAGUAUAAAAAACUCGAAUA